CCUACGGGAGGCAGCAGUGGGGGAUAUUGCACAAUGGGGGAAACCCUGAUGCAGCGACGCCGCGUGGGCGAAGAAGUAUUUCGGUAUGUAAAGCCCUAUCAGCAGGGAAGAAGAAAUGACGGUACCUGAUUAAGAAGCACCGGCUAAAUACGUGCCAGCAGCCGCGGUAAGACGUAUGGGGCAAGCGUUAUCCGGAUUUACUGGGUGUAAAGGGAGCGCAGGCGGCACGGCAAGCCUGAUGUGAAAGCCCGCGGCCCAACCGCGGGACGGCAUUGGGAACUACCGGGCUGGAGUGCCGGAGAGGUAGGCGGAAUUCCUAGUGUAGCGGUGAAAUGCGUAGAUAUUAGGAGGAA
rnacentral:rRNA from 1 species